rnacentral:tRNA from 1 species
UGGGGAUUAGCCAAGUGGUAAGGCAGCGGACUUUGACUCCGCCAUCGGGGGUUCGAAUCCCUCAUCCCCAACCA